rnacentral:misc_RNA from 1 species
UCUAAGGUUAGAGCUCCUUUUUAACUAGCCCACGUUUUUAGCAACAACAAGUCGAGAAAAGAAUCGAGGUAAAUCAAAAGCUUAUGCUUUGAAUCAGAUUUCAUUGUUAACAAGCCUGUGACGAGAUCAUGGACACGAGAAUAUAGCAGUUUCUUAAAAAGGUGAGGUUUAAUUUGUUAAUGACCAUCCUUGAUGAUAUAGAGAAAAUGUUCAUCUUGUAGUAAUGUUAAGUUAUGAGCUAAAUCUGAGGGAUUGAAUAUUGUAAAUUAGGGCUUAAAUUAAG